rnacentral:lncRNA from 1 species
GUCACGUUAAUGAGCCGGUUUUGUUAUCGAAACCACCCUCAAAAACGUUCUUUGAUUAAAUUGUGUUUUCUUUAGAUGUUGGUUUGUUUAGAUUGUAGCUUAGUUUCUUGUUGGAAUAGUUUUAUUUAUGAGUUUGCUCAUUUAUUUGGAUUUUUAACCUCUCUGAACAAGUUUUAUUGUUAUAAAUUUGUUUCAUUGGGUUAUGGUAUUCCUUUUGUGACUUUUUAAAGUCAUGGCAGAAAUCUAUUGAGUGGCAGUUAGUUUAUGUGCGAAGACAACCAGCUGAUAUAGUAAGCCGUUCUUGUAUCGAGAACACCUUUCUUACUUUUGGUACAACGUUUGAUCAUCUUGAACCCGGAAUCACAUGUUUAACGUGAUUCUGUGAGAUCUACAAUGGUUGACUAAACCUGGUACAACGAUGGACUUUAAGAACCCGAAAACACAAGUUAAAAGUGUUUUUUGUGAGAUCAACAAUUGGUGGACUAUACCUGGUACAACUUGAACCAUGCAGAUUAGUCGUAUUUACAUUCCGUUUCCGUUUGAAGGACUAUUUG